AACCGGGGCCUGAUUCCCUGGAGAGACUGAGGCUUCCGAGAUGAGUUUCCAGUGCCGAGCAAUACAGCUGUAUAUUGCUAAAAGCGGUACGCGGGCCUCUCACUGUUGUGGCCUCUCCCGUUGCGGAGCACAGGUUCUGGACGCACAGGCUCAGCAGCCAUGGCUUACGGGCCCAGCCACUCCGCGGCAUGUGGGAUCUUCCCGGACCGGGGCACGAACCCGUGUUCCCUGCAUCGGCAGGCGGACUCUCAACCACUGCGCCACCAGGGAAACCCUAGGAAUAAAUUUUAAUGAAAGAGGUACAAGAACUCUGUACUGAAAAUUGUGUUAUUGAGAGAAAUUAGAGAAGACCCAAGUAGCUGGACAGAUAUUCAAUGCUCAUGGAUCAGAAGACUUAAUAUUGUAAAAAUGUCAGUUCUCCCAAAUGAUCUAUAGGUUCAGUCUAAUCCCUACUAGAAUCCCAGCAGAUUUUGUGUGUGUGUCUGUGUGUGUCUGUGUAAAUUGACAAGCUGACCCUAAAAUGUAUAUGGAAAGUCAGAAGAUCAAGAACAGCCAAGACAAUCUGGAAGAACAAAGUUAGGGGAUUUAUACUACCAGAUGUUAGAAAGUAGACCGAUGGACCUGAAUAGGGUUCCCAAACAGAUGCUUAUGUGAACAUUUUACUUAUGCAAAAGUUGUAAAUAGAUUGUGGACCUAAAUGUAAAAGAUAAAAUAAUAGUGUCUCUAGAAAAUACUUACGAAUAUAUAUAGCAGCCUAUAUACAUGCUUAGAGGAUGAUGGGGUGUCAGACUCUGAGAUGAAAGGGAGACUUUAUCUCUUGUGUGUUCUGUUCACGGUUGGACUCUUUUACCAUGUGUAUGUAUUACUGUUCCGAGGAAAUAAAUAUUUAAAGAAUCACUUAAUAGAAAAAACACAGGUAAAUAUAGUUAAAAAAACAAUAUUAAGACAAUGUAACAAAGUAAACAAAGUAAUGUUACAGUUAUUAGAAGCUGGGAAGUAGAAUGGAAGAGGAAAGAUGGAAAGGCGAUAGGGGUUUUAUCCUCAUUUUACAAAAGGAAAAAAAUUUAAGCAUGGUGAUGAUUGUGGGCUACACCUUGAUUCGCCAACUACAAUAGGCACACAGGAAGGACCUCCACAGAGGUCCUGUUUUAUUCAUUUCCAGGUUCAUAGUGAGUGUCUUUAUGACACCACUUUUGCUGAAGAGUUUAUUGAUUUGCUCUUUGGUUCUCCUUUAUUUUUACUUUAGCAGUGCCUGUCUUGGAAUAAGUUUAACUCCAAGACAGAGUCAGGCAGCAUGGCCAGGAGACUACCCACCAUUAAGCCACUUAUGUUGGACCAGGUCUGGUGGGGACAGUCCACGCAUGUUUUCAACAGGAAGGAGGAGCUGUGUGGUUUUGUUUUGUUUUUUAGAGCCCCUGAUCCCCAGGUGGGGUGGGGUGGGGGGAAAUCAUACCUUAAGAGCUGAAAGAAACUUCAGAGUUCUGGUAACCCACUUUCUCUUAACCCCCUGGAAUAUUUACCGUUUCUGAAGCUAGUCUUACAGCCUCCAUUUAAACAGAUACAGAGAUAGGUAACUGCAUCACAAAGUAGAUCAUUUCAGUUUUUUAAAGAUGUCUAGGUCUUGGAAAAUAUCUUUUUUUUUUUUUUUUUGGCACUCAAAGCUCAACUACAUAUAAGAGAAACCCCAAAUAACAGUGUCAAACAAAAUUAAAAUGUAUUUCUUUUCAUGUAAAAGGGAUCCAGAAGUUGAAACUCCUUGGCUGAAAUAACAACUGCCAUCAAGGUGUCAGGCACCCAGGCUUCUUCUCUCUUACCCCUCCUCCAUUCCUGGAGUGUCACUUUUGCCCUUAUGAUCCAAAGUGGCUGCUAGAGGGCAGUCAUCAUGAUCACACUCCUCACAGCAGGAUAGAGGAAGAAAUGCAGGAGGGCACACCCCUUCUCUUUAAGGAGAUUUUCUGGAAGUACCAUAUACCAUUUAUGCUGAUAUAUCAAUGUUCAGAACUUAGUCAUAUGGCCCACUAACCUCAAAGGAGGCUGGGAAAUGUCAAAGUGCUCUGCUAAGAAUCAAGGCUCUGUGGCUAAGGAUGAAGGGAAAAAUGAGUACUGAAAGGCAGCUAGCAAGCUCUGUCACAUGGGUCCUUUAAAUAUUUGAAAACAGCAAUCAUGUCCUACUUCAGCUUCUCUUUUAGGGUAAACAUCAUCAUUCUCUUUGACAAAUCGACAGUGAUACUGUUUUCAGACCCUUCACCUCUUCAACUGUCCUAUUAACAUGCUCUAGUUUGUGUUGAAUACUUAGAAUAAGACACCCCCCACGACAGUGUGAGAUCUAAUUGCUACAAAAUCAAUUUGAAAUAUUUUGACCCCUUUUCUUUGCACCAUAUUUUUAUUAAUCCAUCCUAAAAUUAGCUUUCUUGGCAACAACUGCACAUGGUUACUAAAUCUAGAAUCAACUGCAUCCUCCAGGCUUUUACAUUUGUUAGUGUUUUGCCUGGUCUCUCCCCACUUAGACUCCAGUAGAUUUUUUAUUUUCCUUUUUUCCCCCCCACUCCCCUCCCUCCUCAGUAAAUGAGUUUAAAUGUAUUGCCAUUUAAUUUCACCUGGCUUGUUUUAGCUUACCUGAAACUUUUGAGAACUUUUUGAAUUCUGACUUUCUUACCCAACAUACUAAAUGACUUGGCUGUGGGCAUUUCUACCUGUGAUAAAUGAAAUUUAUCUUUAAGGUCAGGAACAGUGUCUUAAUUUAUAUUCUCAGCAUUGGGUACAAUGCCUAUGCAUAGUAGAUGUUUGUUUAAGGAAUGAAUUACGCAGUUAGACAUAAAGAGCAUUUUCUGGAAGAAUUUUUUUUUAAGUUCUGGAAUUGUUUGUGAAAGAAGACUAUGAAAUCUUCCUGUCUUUAAAAAUAAUAUAGACUUUUAUCUGGGAGAAUUAUAUUUAAAUGUGUAUACAGUCUUUUAAAAGUAGGCAGGUGAUUUAAACAAUUUUGCUAAACUUCUAAAUCAUACAAAUAUGAUUUUAUAAUGAUUUGUUUGGCUAAAUUUUUUAAAAAAAAGACUAGACAGUGAAAAGUUUAAAGUUUACAUUUUAAUUCUGCCCCGAUACAGAAUAUACCAACUCAUUCAUUUCUUUCCCUUGGUUUCACAAAUUAUAAAAGAGAAUUCACAAAUCAAUUUUUCUUGCUUAAAAAAGGUGUUUGCAAGAAUAUUCAUUAGGGACUUCCCUGGUGGUGCAGUGGUUAAGAAUCCGCCUGCCAAUGCAGGGGACAUGGGUUCUAGCCCUGGUCUGGGAAGAUCUCACAUGCCGCGAAGCAACUAAGCACGCAAGCCACAACUACUGAGCCCAUGUGCCACAACUAUGAAAGCCCUCGUGCCUACAGCCCGUGCUCUGCAACAAGAGAAGCUACUGCAGCGAAGAGUAGCCUCUGCUUUCCACAACUAGAGAAAGCCCACGUGCAGCAACGAAGACCCAACGCAGCCAAAUAUAUAUAUAUAUAUUCAUUAAAACCAGUCUAUAGGGAACUAUAGAAUCCAAAUUGUGAGGUAAUCUGAAGAUCCAGGGAUAAGAUUAGAUGUGUCAACCUCUGAAACGAAUACAAAAUAACAUUAAAUUGACUUGUGAAAGUAACUUGAAAAUGUUUCAGAAACAUGCUGCUCAUGAGAUUAGGGGCUCCUAAAAUAAAUUCUGGGAGAUUGGAGAUAGUAAUCUAAAUAUAAUGUAUAGAAUAAUCUAUAAAUUUGGCACUUAGACAUUGACAAAAACACAGUCAUUGGCACAUAGUAAAUAUUCAGAUGUUAAUUAUUAUUAUUAAAUAUAGAGAUUAGAAGUAAAAUCAAAGCUUCUCCAGAACUGACCAAGGAGAUGGCACCCCAAAUAUAUACAAUGGUCUCUUUUUUGGGUAGAAAUAUUCCUAGAGAUAACUAUACAAAGAAAGAGGUUCCCUAAAGAAUCUCGAUUUAUUAGGAUAUAAACAGGAUUUUUAAAAAGUAACUGUUAAAAAGUCCCCCUUUCCCUCUGGAUACAGGGUUUCUUAGCUACAUCUUGAUCUAAUUCCAUUACUUUUGGUUAUCAGAGUAAUGCGGUUCUAUUUAACAUAGGCCAAAUUUGUGGGGUUUGCAGUGGGUAUGGGACCCUCCCCCCUGUCAUCCCCCAGCCCUUUGAAGUGGGUCCAGGGAAGAAGAAGAAUGGAGGCAGAUUGUCUUCUUACUUCACUAUUCUUAGGGUGAUAACCUUCACUCUGUCAUUACUGCUGCUUCUCUAACACUUGCUGGUUAUGGCAGUUCCAAAUUCUGGGGGUGUUUUUGUUGGUCUUCAAAAGGCCUUUAUCAGGGUAGGGGACUGGGGGCGGGGUUGGGAUGAACUGGGAGGUUGGGGUUGACAUAUAUACACUAAUAUGUAUAAAAUAGAUAACUAAUAAGAACCUGCUGUAUAAAAACUAAAUAAAUAAAAUUCAAAAAUAAAAUUCAAAAAUAAAAUAAAAUUCAAAAAUAAAAAACAAAAUAAAUCCCCCUCCGCCUCAAAAAAGGCCUUUACCUCCUCCACUGUCCCUCAACCCUUACUGUGGGUGACUCACCUUACUGGUCUGUAACCCUCAUCUGGUGGGCAGCCCUCUUAAAUGGAGUACUGAAAACAUGGUAAAUAUAAAAUUUAUAGUAAUGGGAGUUAUUAAUUGAGACAGUUAUUAGAAAUUAUUACUUCUCAUUACUUCUGAGCCAUGAAUUGCAUUUUGAAACUAAAGUGUUUUAAUUAUAAGAUAUUUAAGCCUCUGUGAAGCAUACAACAUUUUAUAGUUUGAGAUGUAAUGAUAAUGGGUAGGAUGAAUUAAAUUGUGAAGAAAAAUCCUACCUUUGUUUCCAACAUUUAAUUUUAUAUAUGAUUUAAGCUAAGAAUACUGCAAGGAGAUGGAUUAUAAACAGAAUAUAUGCCAGUGUGAAAACCAGGACUUAAUACUCUUAAUAAAUACUAUUAGAACUUGAGAAAAGCUUCUCUAUGAAGAAGCAACAGGAAACAGUCAAUUUUAGGGACCUCAGCAUAUAAAAUAAAGGCUUGUUUCUAUGAA